rnacentral:rRNA from 1 species
GGAAUAUUGCACAAUGGGGGAAACCCUGAUGCACCGACGCCGCGUGAGCGAUGAAGUAUUUCGGUAUGUAAAGCUCUAUCAGCAGGGAAGAAAAUGACGGAUACUGUCUAAGGAGCCCCGGCUAACUACGUUCCAGCAGCCGCGGUAAUACGUAGGGGGCAAGCGUUAUCCGGAUUUACUGGGUGUAAAGGGAGCGUAGACGGCAUGGCAAGCCAGAUGUGAAAGCCCGGGGCUCAACCCCGGGACUGCAUUUGGAACUGUCAGGCUAGAGUGUCGGAGAGGAAAGCGGAAUUCCUAGUGUAGCGGUGAAAUGCGUAGAUAUUAGGAGGAACACCAGUGGCGAAGGCGGCUUUCUGGACGAUGACUGACGUUGAGGCUCGAAAGCGUGGGGAGCAAACA